UACGUAGGGAGCAAGCGUUGUCCGGAAUCAUUGGGCGUAAAGCGCGCGUAGGUGGCUUCGUAAGUCCGUUGUGAAAGUCAAAGGCUCAACCUUUGAAAGCCGAUGGAUACUGUGGAGCUAGAGUACGGAAGAGGCGAGUGGAAUUCCUGGUGUAGCGGUGGAAUGCGCAGAUAUCAGGAGGAACACCAAUAGCGAAGGCAGCUCGCUGGGACGUUACUGACACUAAGGCGCGAAAGCGUGGGGAGCAAACAGG
rnacentral:rRNA from 1 species